GUGCUCACUUUGGCAGCACAUAUACUAAAAUUGGAAUGAUGCUGAGAAGAUUAGCAUGGCCCCUGCGCAAGGAUGAUGCACAAAUUUGUGAAGCAUUGCAUAUUUAA